AUUGAACGCUGGCGGCAGGCCUAACACAUGCAAGUCGAACGGUAGCACAGAGAGCUUGCUCUCGGGUGACGAGUGGCGGACGGGUGAGUAAUGUCUGGGAAACUGCCCGAUGGAGGGGGAUAACUACUGGAAACGGUAGCUAAUACCGCAUAACGUCGCAAGACCAAAGUGGGGGACCUUCGGGCCUCACACCAUCGGAUGUGCCCAGAUGGGAUUAGCUAGUAGGUGGGGUAAUGGCUCACCUAGGCGACGAUCCCUAGCUGGUCUGAGAGGAUGACCAGCCACACUGGAACGGAGACACGGUCCAGGCUACUACGGGAGGCAGCAGUGGGGAAUAUUGCACAAUGGGCGCAAGCCUGAUGCAGCCAUGCCGCGUGUAUGAAGAAGGCCUUCGGGUUGUAAAGUACUUUCAGCGGGGAGGAAGGCGGUGAAGUUAAUAACUUCACCGAUUGACGUUACCCGCAGAAGAAGCACCGGCUAACUCCGUGCCAGCAGCCGCCGUAA
rnacentral:rRNA from 1 species